rnacentral:rRNA from 1 species
GAACGCUGGCUCCAGGCUUAAGGAAGAAAGUCGAGCGCCGUAGCAAUACGGAGCGGCAGACGGGUGUUUCACACGUGGGAACGUACCUUUUGGUUCGGAACAACACAGGGAAACUUGUGCUAAUACCGGAUAAGCCCUUACGGGGAAAGAUUUAUCGCCGAAAGAUCGGCCCGCGUCUGAUUAGCUAGUUGGUGAGGUAACGGCUCACCAAGGCGACGAUCAGUAGCUGGUCUGAGAGGAUGAUCAGCCACACUGGGACUGAGACACGGCCCAGACUCCUACGGGAGGCAGCAGUGGG